rnacentral:rRNA from 1 species
ACGAACGCUGGCGGCGUGCUUAACACAUGCAAGUCGAACGGGAUCCGGACUUCGGUUCGGUGAGAGUGGCGAACGGGUGAGUAACGCGUAGGCAAUCCACCUUCAGGUGGGGGAUAGCCCCGGGAAACCGGGAUUAAUACCGCAUGACGCGUUUGGAUCGCAUGGUCCGGACGUUAAAGAUUUAUCGCCCAGGGAUGAGCCCGCGUAGGAUUAGCUAGUUGGUGGGGUAAAGGCCUACCAAGGCGACGAUCCUUAGCUGGUCUGAGAGGAUGAUCAGCCACACUGGGACUGAGACACGGCCCAGACUCCUACGGGAGGCAGCAGUAGGGAAUAUUGGACAAUGGGGGCAACCCUGAUCCAGCAAUGCCGCGUGAGUGAUGAAGGCCUUAGGGUUGUAAAGCUCUUUUACCCGAGAUGAUAAUGACAGUAUCGGGAGAAUAAGCCCCGGCUAACUCCGU